CCCAACCUCCAACCCUGUGUUUACACAUACCAUGUUGCUUUGGCAGGCCCGUBUUCGGACCGCCGGGGGCUCGCUUGAACCCCUGGCCAGSGCCCGCCAACAGCCCAACUAAAUGCUGGUGAAAAUCGUGAUCUUCUCAGUUUGAUACAAAUGUCAAAASUUUCAACAACGGAUCUCUUGGUUCUGGCAUCGAUGAAGAACGCAGSGAAAUGCGAUAAGUAAUGCGAAUUGCAGAAUUUAGUGAGUCAUCGAAUUUUUGAACGCACAUUGCGCCCUUUGGCAUUCCGAAGGGCAUGCCUGUUCSAGCGUCAUUGUCAACCCUCAAGCCUGGCUUGCUGUUGAGCCCUAGCCUGUCACACUGGCUGGCUCGAAAGACAGUGGCAGAGUCGGUUCGGACCCUGGAUGCAACGAGCUUUCGAGCVCGCAUUGAAGUGGCCGAGUGACCCUCGCC
rnacentral:rRNA from 1 species